rnacentral:rRNA from 1 species
UAGGGAAUCUUCGGCAAUGGGGGCAACCCUGACCGAGCAACGCCGCGUGAGUGAAGAAGGUUUUCGGAUCGUAAAGCUCUGUUGUAAGAGAAGAACGUGUGUGAGAGUGGAAAGUUCACACAGUGACGGUAACUUACCAGAAAGGGACGGCUAACUACGUGCCAGCAGCCGCGGUAAUACGUAGGUCCCGAGCGUUGUCCGGAGUUAUUGGGCGUAAAUCGAGUCCAGGCGGUUUAAUAAGUCUGAAGUUAAAGGCAGUGGCUUAACCAUUGUUCGCUUGGGAAACUGAUGAAAAUGGGUGCAGAAGGGUAGAGUGGAAUUCAAUGUGUAGCGGUGAAAUGCGUAGAUAAAUGAAGGAACACCGGUGGCGAAAGCGGCUCUCUGGUCUGUAACUGACGCUGAGGCUCGAAAGCGUGGGGAGCAAAGAGG